rnacentral:rRNA from 2 species
CUGCGAAGGGAUCAUU